CAAGCCCACGCAGAGCGAUGGCGCUCCGCGGCCGCUGUCACGGGGCCUGCCCGCUGCCACGGCGUGCGGAGCGGCAAGAAGCAGCAGAAAGGCAGAGGAACGGGGUUUGGGACGGUUCUCCCCCGCCACCCCGCCUGGCUGCAGCUGCUGAGAGUUAGUGCCGUGGUAUGAGCCAGUAAGAAGCCAGAAGGAAGGACUUGCAAGGGACUGGCAGGAAGAAACAGAGCUAAGAACAUUUGCCCAAAGCAAAGAAGCGGAGAGGGGGACAAUUUUAUUCCCUCAGUGCUGAGGACUGGCUUCUGCACUACCCACCGCAUAGCCUAACAAGCCUGAGCCCACAAGCAAGGAAGGGUUCUGUGGCAAGAUGCUCCUACUCUAAGGAAAGGAUAGCUCUUCCUGAGAUCUCUGAGUUACCAGUAAGUAUUUCUAAUCUGCUUUCAAUGUAAAUUGUCAGAACACAAAUAUGUGUGGGAAGCUCAGCAAGAUCCAUGUAGCUGGAAGAAAGACUAUCCUGUCACUGUCUGACUGUACAACUUUGUUAAGCCCACUGUGAGAACCAUCUCAUCUUCUCCAUGCAUAAAAAAAGUGAUGCCCAGUGCCUAUUGGUGUUGGCCAGAAAUGCUGGUACAGGGCUCUCUGUUCUCACAGGUAGGGAGCCAUGGAAAUUCUGCAAGUGCUAAGAGCCCAGCCAGUCAUGCUCUGCAUUUUAAACAAUGGCCAGUGAAAUUAACCCAACACAAUGCUUGUGCUGCACUGUGCAUGAUUGUACGGGCUUUCUUCUGCCUUCUGACACCCUAGUGACUGAGUGGCUAUGAAGUGUGACAGAGAAACCAGGUCCACUGGUGUGUGCUACAGCUGGCUGCAAGUCUGUGCUGCUGCCU